GGGGUGUGUGUGUGUGUGUGUGUGUGUGUGUGUGUGUGUGUGUGUGUGUGUGUGUGUGUGUGUGUGUGUGUGUGUGUGUGUGUGUGUGUGUGUGUGUGUGUGUGUGUGUGUGUGUGUGUGUGUGUGUGUGUGUGUGUGUGUGUGUGUGUGUGUGAUACCUUCAUGCGUGGGAGUAGUUAAUUAUUAAGAACAACGAGGAGCUGGACUCUGUUCCCAAGGUGAUGGAACCAGGAAAUGGCACCUACCAAAUAAAGCAUUACCUUAACAGUAGUCAGGCAGACAGUAGUCAGGCAGACAGUAGUCAGGCAGACAGUAGUCAGGCAGACAGUAGUCAGGCAGACAGUAGUCAGGCAGACAGUAGUCAGGCAGAUAGGGAGGUAGAGAGAAAAAUAGUUUGUCUGCCAUUGGUGUUGCCCUUGUCGCCGUGUCAGUGAGAAGAAACCACAGAUCAAAUAUCAGGAAGACAUCAUGAAGGUGGACGACAAGUUUCAAAUUCUGAAAUUCUUCGCAGCAGUUUUCAACUCUGUUUUCUUGAUUCUGGGGCUCUGUAUCUUUGGAUGUGCGGUAUGGAUAUUGUUUGACAAGGACAAUUUCAUUGCCAUUCUCAGCUCUGUUGAGGUGAAGACUGUAGCUGGGGGACUGUUCAUCAUUGGUCUAGUGGUGGUUGGUGUCACUAUCCUGGGGUGUAUGGGAGCCCAACUGGAGAACAGGUGCUUCCUACUACUG